GAUGAACGCUGGCGGCGUGCCUAAUACAUGCAAGUCGAGCGAACAGACGAGGAGCUUGCUCCUCUGACGUUAGCGGCUGACGGGUGAGUAACACGUGGAUAACCUACCUAUAAGACUGGGAUAACUUCGUGAAACCGGAGCUAAUACUGGAUAAUAUAUUCAACCGCAUGGUUCAAUAGUGAAAGACGGUUUUGCUGUCACUUAUAGAUGGAUCCGCGUCGCAUUAGCUAGUUGGUAAGGUAACGGCUUACCAAGGCAACGAUGCGUAGCCGACCUGAGAGGGUGAUCAGCCACACUGGAACUGAGACACGGUCCAGACUCCUACGGGAGGCAGCAGUAGGGAAUCUUCCGCAAUGGGCGAAAGCCUGACGGAGCAACGCCGCGUGAGUGAUGAAGGUCUUCGGAUCGUAAAACUCUGUUAUUAGGGAAGAACAAAUGUGUAAGUAACUAUGCACGUCUUGACGGUACCUAAUCAGAAAGCCACGGCUAACUACGUG
rnacentral:rRNA from 1 species